rnacentral:rRNA from 1 species
CAGUAGCCACGGGAAUACGUAGGUGGCGAGCGUUGUCCGGAAUCAUUGGGCGUAAAGGGAGCGCAGGCGGGCCGGUAAGUCUUACUUAAAAGUGCGGGGCUCAACCCCGUGAUGAGAUGGAAACUGCCAAUCUAGAGUAUCGGAGAGGAAAGUGGAAUUCCUAGUGUAGCGGUGAAAUGCGUAGAUAUUAGGAAGAACACCAGUGGCGAAGGCGACUUUCUGGACGAAAACUGACGCUGAGGCGCGAAAGCCAGGGGAGCGAACGGGAUUAGAUACCCCUGUAGUCCCUGUCUCUUAUACC